CGGAGCUACCAUGCAGUCGAGGGGCAGCACGAGGUAGCAAUACUUUGGUGGCGACCGGCAGACGGGUGAGUAACGCGCUAUGUAACCUACCCCAUACAGAGGGAUAACCCGGAGAAAUUCGGACUAAGACCUCAUAAUACCAUGAGAGGGCAUCUGAUUAUGGUUAAAGUUCCGGCGGUAUGGGCUGGGCAUGCGUAACAUUAGCUAGUUGGUAGGGUAACGGCCUACCAAGGCUUCGAUGUUUAGGGGUCCUGAGAGGGUGGUCCCCCACACUGGUACUGAGACACGGACCAGACUCCUACGGGAGGCAGCAGUGAGGAAUAUUGGUCAAUGGGCGCAAGCCUGAACCAGCCAUCCGCGUGCAGGAAGACGGCCCUAUGGGUUGUAAACUGCUUUUCCAGGAGACGAAAAGUGCCGACGUGUCGGCAUGUGACUGUACCUUGGGAAUAAGCAUCGGCUAACUCCGUGCCAGCAGCCGCGGUAAUACGGAGGAUGCAAGCGUUAUCCGGAUUCAUUGGGUUUAAAGGGUGCGUAGGCGGAUUGAUAAGUCAGUGGUGAAAUCCUACAGCUUAACUGUAGAACUGCCAUUGAUACUGUCAUGUCUUGAGUUUGGUUAACGUACGCGGAAUGUGUA
rnacentral:rRNA from 1 species